UAAAGGUUAGCCAAAAGGCAAGGCAUUAAGUUUUGAUCUUAACUAAUGCAGGUUCGACUCCUGUACCUUUAU
rnacentral:tRNA from 1 species